rnacentral:lncRNA from 10 species
GAGAGAGGAGACAAAGAGAAAGACAGCUUAUGCCAUUAUUUCUGCAUAUCAGAGACUUUUAGUACUUUCACUAAUUUACUACUGCUAUCUAGAAGGCAGAGCCAGGCGUACAGGAUGGAACGUGAAGGCGGACUAGGAGCGUGACCACUGAAGCACAGCAUCAUAGGGAGACGGUUAGGCCUCCGGAUAACUGCGAGUGGACCUGACUGGUGUCUGGCCCUCCACAAGAGCUCGUGUCCUUGGUCUCUUGCCUCGGCGCCUGGGUGACCUGCCGCCCACAAACCAGGACCAGGGAGACCUGAAAACCUUCCCACAGACCAAAAUCUCCCCCUCUGAGAUGUGGAUGCCCAAGAAAAAGGAAAGAGAACUUAGGACUGGUCUCAGGCCUGCAGAUGUCUAAUAAUAACGCCAGCCGUCCCCUGGUGGAGAAGAGGCAGCUGUGGCUGCAGAGAGACCUCGUGUGACUCUAAUCUGACACCUUUGACUUGUGUGACCCUAGUCGGUGACUGUCUCCCUGUUCCUCAAUUUUUUUUUUCAAUAAGUAGGAUAAGUGCUAUUUGGCUGUGACGUUGUUUGUGAAUUAAUCUCAAAAUAUUUACAAUUACUUGACCUCAGCUGUGUAUAGAGGAGCUGCCCAAAGGAACAGCAUCUAUGCUUAUUUGCCUCCAAAAGAGAGGUCCCUGAGUCUGAUCCCUUGUGGAAAAGGAGCUGCUGGGAGCAUCUUCUCUCUUCUUUUUCCUCCCCCUGGGGAUACUGAACUUCCCAUGGAGUCAUCUAAGUUCCCCUGGGCAGUGGGCUCAUGCCCUAGUAAUCUUGUCCAUCUGUUCACUCCAUGCUGAGUCUCAGGUAAAGGAUGAGGCCCUGUCCUUGCCCAGGAGAGGUUCUUGGGGCUGGACCCUGGCUGGUGACCAACUCCAGGAGCCACGACCCUCAGACAGCUGGUAAAUUCUUGCUCCCAGUCAGCCCUGCCCAGGAGGCCUCACUCAGCCCUGGCACAGGAUCCCUAGGGUCCCCAGGGUCACCUGGAGUCAGGAAUCUGGGACAGGGAUUUGCACAGGGGCUCAGUUCUGGGAAGAGUUGAGCUUCUCUCUGAGAAUCCUAGGGGGACCCCUCAGGCCAGGCCCUGAUCCAGUUCUCCAGGGUCUUUCUUAGGGUCAGGUCCAUGGGGAGACCAUGGGGUUCUUUUCUGACACUGACCUUGCCCUGCUGAGUCCCCCCAUCAGACUGUCCUUCCUCUGCAGCGAGUGUCUGCAGGGUCUGGAUGCAGGAAAGGAAUUCUGAUCUGUGGAAGUUUGUCUCCCCCGUGUGUGUCCUGCACUAAAUGUCCAAACCCUGAUACAGAAUGUAAUGCAGAGAGGGCCACAGGCACAGCCCAGGCCUGACAAUCCCAUAUGUGGGAAGUAGAACUGACCCCCAACACCCAGAGGUCAUGUGGAAAUACUCACGGUAUACAUGGAACUGUCCAGUUGCUUCUUCAUUCACAAGAUCUGACUUUAUGACUUGUAGGGUGUAGAAUC